rnacentral:snoRNA from 1 species
UGCACUUAUGAUGUUUUUGUUUAACUUAUGGACAAAGACUUAUGGAUAAGUACAAAAAAUAAAUCCUCUUUUGCAACCCAGAACUCAUUGUUCAAUAUGAGUUUUGAUACAUAUAAGAAGGGAUAUU